GCAAACUUGGUCAUUUAGAGGAAGUAAAAGUCGUAACAAGGUUUCCGUAGGUGAACCUGCGGAAGGAUCAUUACCGAGUGCGGGCCCUCUGGGUCCAACCUCCCAUCCGUGUCUAUUCAUACCCUGUUGCUUCGGCGGGCCCGCUGGCUGCCCCCUCCUGGGGGGCGCCGGCCGCCGGGGGGCUACCCUGCCCCCGGGCCCGUGCCCGCCGGGGACACCAACACUGAACACUGUCUGAAGGUUGCAGUCUGAGUUUUCAUAAAGAAAAAUUGUUAAAACUUUCAACAACGGAUCUCUUGGUUCCGGCAUCGAUGAAGAACGCAGC
rnacentral:misc_RNA from 1 species